GGGGAUGAGGAGUAUCAGAGAGGCCUCAAGACCAGGUAUACUGAUCUUAAAAGAACUCCUCAAAAAACUAUCUGCAUACAAAUCUAUGGCUCUCCAAAUUUUUCCUCGGAAACCCUAAGACUCUGCCUAUAGGGAAGGACACAGUAUAGUCACCUUAGAAGAUAUUUCUCAUGAUCAAAUUUAUAAAAGUGCAAAUAACAAUUAAAAGAACUUACAGAGGUGAUGCACUGGUAAGCUUAUAGUUUAAUUUCUCUUCAGAAUGAGGAUGAAGAAAGUAGAAAUAACAAUGCUAUAUGAAAAAUGGCUAAACUUGAAAUAAAGUCAUGUUUACCAGGAAUACCCAGAAUUCAUCUGAGUUGAAGCCACUGCCAUCAUCCUUCUUCUCUGAUCCAAGGGUAAUGAAGAAGGAAGAGUUAUUAUUGCAAAGAAGAUAAACAAACAACACUGGAAAAAACCUUUCUUCAGGGGAAGAACUUCUGAAUUGAUUUGUUGUUUGUGCACUUGUUUGUUUCACACAACACCGCAUGAAU
rnacentral:lncRNA from 1 species